rnacentral:rRNA from 1 species
AUUGAACGCUGGCGGCAUGCUUUACACAUGCAAGUCGAACGGCAGCACGGGGGCAACCCUGGUGGCGAGUGGCGAACGGGUGAGUAACACAUCGGAACGUGUCCAGUUGUGGGGGAUAACCCAUCGAAAGGUGGGCUAAUACCGCAUGAGCUGGCAACAGGAAAGCGGGGACCCGCAAGGGCCUUGUGCGAUUGGAGCGGCCGAUGUCCGAUUAGCUAGUUGGUGGGGUAAAGGCCUACCAAGGCUUCGAUCGGUAGCUGGUCUGAGAGGAUGAUCAGCCACACUGGGACUGAGACACGGCCCAGACUCCUACGGGAGGCAGCAGUGGGGAAUUUUGGACAAUGGGGGCAACCCUGAUCCAGCCAUGCCGCGUGAGUGAAGAAGGCCUGGUGUAAGU